rnacentral:rRNA from 1 species
AGUGAACGCUGGCGGUAGGCCUAACACAUGCAAGUCGAACGGCAGCACAGUAAGAGCUUGCUCUUACGGGUGGCGAGUGGCGGACGGGUGAGGAAUACAUCGGAAUCUACUUUUUCGUGGGGGAUAACGUAGGGAAACUUACGCUAAUACCGCAUACGACCUACGGGUGAAAGCAGGGGAUCUUCGGACCUUGCGCGAUUGAAUGAGCCGAUGUCGGAUUAGCUAGUUGGCGGGGUAAAGGCCCACCAAGGCGACGAUCCGUAGCUGGUCUGAGAGGAUGAUCAGCCACACUGGACCUGAGACACGGUCCAGACUCCAACGGGAGGCAGCAGGGGGGAAUAUUGGCCAAUGGGGGCAAGCCUGAUCCAGCCAUACGGCGGGGGUGAAGAAGGCUUUCGGGUGGUAAAGCCCUUUUGUUGGGAAAGAAAAGAAGCAGGUUAAUCCCCGCUGUUCUGACGGUACCCAAAGAAUAAGCACCGGCUAACUUCGUG